rnacentral:lncRNA from 1 species
AUGGAGACGGAGAGAGUGGGAUGGGGCCAGAGAGAGAGGGAGGGAGACGGAGAGAGAGGGAUGGGGCCAGAGAGAGAGGGAGGGAGACGGAGAGAGAGGGAUGGGGCCAGAGAGAGAGGGAGGGAGACGGAGAGAGUGGGAUGGGGCCAGAGAGAGAGGGAUGGAGACGGAGAGAGUGGGAUGGGGCCAGAGAGAGAGGGAGGGAGACGGAGAGAGAGGGAUGGGGCCAGAGAGAGAGGGAGGGAGACGGAGAGAGAGGGAUGGGGCCAGAGAGAGAGGGAGGGAGACGGAGAGAGUGGGAUGGGGCCAGAGAGAGAGGGAUGGAGACGGAGAGAGUGGGAUGGGGCCAGAGAGAGAGGGAUGGAGACGGAGAGAGUGGGAUGGGGCCAGAGAGAGAGGGAGGGAGACGGAGAGAGAGGGAUGGGGCCAGAGAGAGAGGGAGGGAGACGGAGAGAGAGGGAUGGGGCCAGAGAGAGAGGGAGGGAGACGGAGAGAGUGGGAUGGGGCCAGAGAGAGAGGGAUGGAGACGGAGAGAGUGGGAUGGGGCCAGAGAGAGAGGGAUGGAGACGGAGAGAGUGGGAUGGGGCCAGAGAGAGAGGGAGGGAGACAGAGAGAGAGGGAUGGGGCCAGAGAGAGAGGGCUGGGGCCAGAGAGAGAGGGAUGGAGACGGAGAGAGUGGGAUGGGGCCAGAGAGAGAGGGAGGGAGACGGAGAGAGAGGGAUGGGGCCAGAGAGAGAGGGAGAGAGAGGGAUGGGGCCAGAGAGAGAGGGAGGGAGACGUAGAGAGAGGGAUGGGGCCAGAGAGAGAGGGAUGGAGACGGAGAGAGUGGGAUGGGGCCAGAGAGAGAGGGAUGGAGACGGAGAGAGUGGGAUGGGGCCAGAGAGAGAGGGAUGGAGACGGAGAGAGUGGGAUGGGGCCAGAGAGAGAGGGAUGGAGACGGAGAGAGUGGGAUGGGGCCAGAGAGAGAGGGAGGGAGACGGAGAGAGAGGGAUGGGGCCAGAGAGAGAGGGAGAGAGAGGGAUGGGGCCAGAGAGAGAGGGAGGGAGACUGAGAGAGUGGGAUGGGGCCAGAGAGAGAGGGAUGGAGACGGAGAGAGUGGGAUGGGGCCAGAGAGAGAGGGAGGGAGACGGAGAGAGAGGGAUGGGGCCAGAGAGGGAUGGGGCCAGAGAGAGAGGGAGAGAGAGGGAUGGGGCCAGAGAGAGAGGGAGGGAGCCAGAGAGAGAGGGAGGGAGACAGAGGGAUGGGGCCAGAGAGAGACGGAGAGAGAGGGAUGGGGCCAGAGAGAGAGGGAUGGGGCCAGAGAGAGAGGGAGGGGGCCAGAGAGAGAGGGAGGGGGCCAGAGAGAGAGGGGGCCAGAGAGAGAGGGAGGGGGCCAGAGAGAGAGGGAGGGGGCCAGAGAGAGAGGGGGCCAGAGAGAGAGGGAGGGGGCCAGAGAGAGAGGGAGGGGGCCAGAGAGAGAGGGAGGGAGCCAGAGAGAGAGGGAGGGAGCCAGAGAGAGAGGGAGGGAGACGGAGAGAGAGGGAUGGGGCCAGAGAGAGGGAGGGAAACGGAGAGAGAGGGAUGGGGCCAGAGAGAGAGGGAGGGAGACGGAGAGAGAGGGAUGGGGCCAGAGAGAGAGUGGGAUGGGGCCAGAGAGAGAGGGAGGGAGACGGAGAGAGAGGGAUGGGGCCAGAGAGAGAGGGAGGGAGACGAUGGGGCCAGAGAGAGGGAGAGAGAGGGAUGGAGACGGAGAGAGAGGGAUGGGGCCAGAGAGAGAGGGAGGGAGACGGAGAGAGAGGGAUGGGGCCAGAGAGAGAGGGAGGGAGACGGAGAUAG